rnacentral:misc_RNA from 1 species
AAUAAAGUUCAGAAGUUUCAAGGCAGGAAAGAUGGCGGAUUUAAAACAGGUCGCUUGUAGUGCUAUAGAUAAACAGGCCGAAGAUUUGAGUCUCUUGAGCAAGGAGAUCUGGGACCACCCUGAACUAAACUUCAACGAAGUUUACAGCCAUGAUUAUUUAACAAAGUUUUUAGAAGACAGAGGAUUUCCCGUGGAUCGGAAGUACAAAAAUGAGACAGCUUUCCGGGCCGUUCUCGGGGACCACUCUUCCGGUCCUCACGUGGCUGUUCUAUGCGAGUAUGACGCACUUCCGGAAAUUGGACAUGCCUGUGGACAUAAUCUUAUAGCAGAAGUCGGAGUGGCAGCGGGAAUCGGUAUUAAGGCGGCUUUUGAAAAGGCCGGAAAACCACUUGGAAAGUUAUCUGUAAUUGGUACGCCAGGAGAAGAAGGUGGUGGUGGCAAAAUUAUCUUGUUGGAGGAGGGAGUUUUUGACGAUGUUGACGUAGCUAUGAUGUCACAUCCGGCACCAAUUGACGCACUAAACGUCGGCUUUAACGCAAUUAAUACGCAAGUAUAGAGAGAGCAUCAAGUUUACACAUCGUGUGAUCAUGGGUUAUUUUUUAAAUCUUUAUUAUGCAUUCUUAGUGCUUGUAUUCUUUUUGAAAUAGUGUAAGGGUCACUUACAAAGGAAGAGCAUCACACGCUGCGGCGUUUCCAUGGGAAGGCGUCAACGCUCUUGACGCUGCAGUGACCGCAUAUCAAUCCGUGUCAAAUCUGCGUCAACAAAUGAAACCAACAUGGCGGGUUCAUGGCAAGUACUUGAAGGCUGUUAUGGCAUCAAAUGAACAAUAGAAAGAAGUAUUAACCAAAAAAUAUUCCACACUACGUUAUUGAUCUCAAUGUAUGAAUUUUAUUUUAGGAAUAAUUUCAAAGGGCGGGGUUAAGCCCAACAUCAUUCCGGAAGAGGCAGAGUUAGAAUAUUACAUCCGAGCACCAAUCAAAAAGGAAUUAGACGUUCUAACGGAGAAAGUCAUAAACUGUUUCCAUAGUGCUGCCAAGGCAACCGGCUGCACUGUGGAAGUUAAGUUUGAAGUACGACCUUAUCUGGAUGUUAUUCAUAAUAAGUCCCUUCUGAAGACUUAUGAAGAAAAUAUCAAAACAUUCGGACAUUAUGGGACUCUUACGACAUCGGAAUUUCCGGCCGGCGGAUCCACGGACAUGGGGAAUGUAUCUUAUGUAGUCCCAAGCAUACAUCCAAUGUAUUACAUAGGAAGUGAUGCUUUCAACCACACACGAGAAUUCAACACAGCGACAGGUGACCCAGCGGCCCAGCCCUUUACCUUGUCUCAAGGGAAGGCCCUAGCAAUGACCGCCAUUGAUGUUUUCACCAAUCCGGAGCUACUUCAGCGUAUCAAGGACGAUUUUGCAAAAGACUUACAAACCAGGAAAUAACCGAAUUCGAAAGGGACAAAUUCGACCUCCAACAUCUGUGAAAUAUUAUGAUGUACUAGUAUGUGAUCUUGCCUUUCAUUUUGUACAGCGGUGAUCAAAAAAUCAACAACUGACAUAAAGGAACAAAAACCAGAAGCUUUUUUUAACGAAAGAAAAGAAAUCAAUGAAAGACUUAAUCAGUUUUUGUAUUCAUACACUUUUAAACAUGAUAAUAUUGUUACACUAUUUGAAAAGCAUAUACAUGUAAUUAUUAAAUGUUUUGGAAUCAAAUUCAAUCAAUUCUACUCGGAAUAUAAAUCAUCCGUUUUUCAUUUAGACUUUGGAGACUGGACUACCUUAUAUUAAACAACCUUUUCGUU